rnacentral:lncRNA from 1 species
GGUUAGGACAUCGUCUUUUCAUGUCGAAGACACGGGUUUGAUUCCCGUAAGGGAUAGGUACUCAUUCCCGGCCGCUUUCAGUUAGUGUUCAUUGCUGAGUGAUCGCUCGCUAUCUGGCUGGAAAAGAUGGUCCGGAAGCUUCCUCUCUCCCAGCAAGCAAGACGAGAUCACCACUUCUCUCAGUAAUGGACUUCCUUUACUUCGUAACCUUAGCCUUAGAUGUCCUUUCAUAGAUUCUCGAACCUCCGACAGACAGAAUCUCCAUGCAUGCAUUCUUUCUCUCCUCCCCUCAGCCAUACAUCCCUUUUUUGCUUUUGGCCCUUUUUGUUAGGCAUUGAACCCCACCCCACGGAGCGGUGCUGAGUGGUGUCCUCCCCUCCCUAAUACCUAAACAGAGUUCCGUCUAUGGAGCCUAAAGCUUAAACCAUGGCAGUAAGCAGUAAGUUGGCCUAGUCUCUCGCCCAGCCUUCGCCUUCUUCAGUGGCCAAGUUGAAGCGUUCAACGUCGGCCUACCACCUUUUUUUUUCAAGUUUGAGCUUGUUCAAUUGAAGCUAAUGCUAUGCUGCCCUUCCCUUGUUCAAGAGAAAGCGAGGACUUUCUUUUAGCUACCGGCCCAAAUAAAAGAGAUUAGCCUCUUGAUCGAUCGAUUGAUUGGAUCGAAGUACGAAGGGGUUGAUUGAAGUCUGAGAUCAGCCCAAGACUAAGGCCGAGCAACUAGCUGCUGCAGGAUUGGACGUCUAUCUAUCUCACCACGCUCCCCUACUCCUAUAAAGGCCGCGGAAGGAAUGCUCUGCUCAUCUUUCUUACGGCUCAUUACCGCAGCGCUCGUUCACCCCUUCUGCUUCUUCCAUUCAAAAAAAAGGUAGUCUUUCCUUGGUAAAUAGCAUCUUGAAGUGAAGCGAAGGCAUUAUUGAAGGAAAGAAAUGGUGGGUCGGUCAAUUGCAUUAGGUAGGAGAUGCAGGACCUGUCUUAACCGCAAGUGCAUUCGCUAUUCGAUUCCAUCCUAAAUCCCACCAAUUCCAAAGUGUGUAUCUUCUUCAAUCUUGUUCAGUUCCAUCCAAGCUCGGUUUUGUCUGAAUCUUCGUGGAAGAAGAAGAAGCGGUUCACCAGCCACUACAUCUGUAGAUCCCACCAAAUCAUUAAACCUGGCGGCUGCUCGCUCUUUGAUCAGUGAUUCACCGGCCACUAGAUCGAUGAAGAAUCUCUCCAAAAUCUGCUCUUUGAUCAGUGAUUCACCGGCCACUAGAUCCAGGAAUCCCACCCUAUUCUCAAACCUGGUGGCUCGGUUGAUUGGCACCCCUGUAAGCUCAUCUUGCAUACAAAUUCUGGGGGUCCCAAGUCCUGCAUCCACCAAGAACAUUUCUUGCCUGAAGCGUAAAACUUCAGAUUGUAGGGCGUUUCCACUACAUAAGAAAAAACUGGAAUUCGAUCUUGGAAAUAAUCGACUCAAGCUCAUCAUACCCUUUUUUGUGACUCGACUCAAGCUCAUCAUAGCCCUUUUUGUGACUCGACUCAAGCUCAUCAUACAUAAUUCGAUUUCCUCUUCUUUCUUAUGCUCGUAGGUCAGUCUAUUCGACUUUUUCUUGCAAAUCCUCUCUUUUCCGCUUUUGACUAUGAUUGGGCCCUGCAGUGGUAGAACCUGGUGAACCAGGCAUACUGCUUGACUUGCUUUUCUUCUCUUAUGAUUUUUGCUACUUUCUUUUUGAUAGUAUUGGUCUCGUUUAGAGUAUCAGUCUAGUCACUCAACUAAUCCACUCGUGGAGUGCGUUUGGUAUAGUAGUAGUCUGGUAGUUGAGACUUCGCCCCUUCUUCUUCAGUAAAGCCGAGCCCAACUAUUAUAUUGAUUACGCCAAACAUAGCUUUAGAGGCUCUUACUAGAUAGGGCGGAAGAAUAGAAGUCUCACUACUAGCUUUUAGUCUUAAGCAGGCAGCGGCGGUCAGGAAUGAAUGUUAUAACUAAACUAUCACUUGCUUAGUCUUUUUCUAGCUUGAUUGCGAAGCAUGGUUUGGAAAGGUCAGCUGAAAGACGGUAUAUAUCAACAUUCAAACCUAUUCCUUUGUGGCUGGCCCCAGUGCUUAACGCCAGGUUCCCUCCACAUCCACAUACAUAUGAAAAGUAAGCCAGCCGUAUUAGCUCAUCAACUCGCCUUAACGCACCCUCACUAUAUAGGUGCGGACUUGCGGCGUACGGUAUCACUUGCCUAACAGCUGCCAAAAGCGGAAGCUUCAAUGUUGACGGGCUUAUUGUCUCUUUUCUUAUCUUAAAAAAAGGGAAAAUAAGAGAGGGAUCACUCCUCGGGCAGUCGCUAACCGUUGCGCCUUCCCUUCUGCUUACACCAUUUCUUUGUGAAUGCUCCGCUUUGCUCUUUGUCGCGCUACUUCCGCUAGCAACCGGCUUCGGAUUCUCCUUAAGGCACCGUGUUGAGUAGGGAUUUGAAUAGAAACUCUAUUUUGGGGCUCAAUGUUGCUGGACUCUACUCCUCUCCCCGGGCUCGCUCCGCUCUAUGCCCAAAGCUUCAACUCAAUCACUUGGACAGAGGGAUUUGACCUACCAACUGCAGGCUCGGGUGCGAGAACGGUAUCCAUUGCCUGCUGCCCCCCCCAAUAAUACGUGUUUAUCAACCACCCGCUUACUACAAGAAUGUAUCAUGAUGAGAAUCAAAGCAGUCUUGUGAAUGCCCAGUUCUCCUGUCUUCUUCGGGUCCUUAAUAGAACUCAAAACUAGGUUUCUUCUGUAUAUAAACUAUAUCUUUCUCUUCCUCAGAGAUUGAAUUGAAAGUCGACUGAAUGUGAUGAAAGGUUAUAUGCUUAACACAUGCAAGUCGAAUAUAGUAUGAAGGCUUUCUCUUCUAAAGGCAGGGGUGAGGACUCCAUUGCGGCAUUAAGUAAGGAGUUGGAGGAAAUCAAGGCGCAUCCACUUCGUCAUCUCAGUCUCUUUUUGUGCAAAGAGGUUUCAAGAUAAGAUAGCAGGCGACCAAAAAGCUCCGAGCAAAUCUUCUAGAGAGCGUACCCUUAGUUUCGACUCUUUCUCUAUUCUAAAACGAAAAAUCGAAAAAAGAAAAAGAAAGGGGGUGCGGGUCAAAUCCGCAUCUUUGCGCCCUUUACUUACUUCAAGGGAUGGUGCGUCCGAUACAUGAUUGGUUAAUGACGAUUCUCAACAGCAUCUGUAAGAUCUCGAGGCUUACUAGACGGAAUUCGAUCAAAAAUGAAAACUUUGGAUAUUUUUCUUAGAAGGAGAUGAACUACCUAUAGAUUUGUAUGUAAGUGCACGAAUUAAGAGAAAGCUGGCAUCCAAUCAAGAAAGAAUCACUUCGGACAAUUAGACUGAGCUUCCCCCUUGUCUCUCUUCUUUAGCUAAUGAUGAAGCAAAUCCCUAAAGUCAAAGUAGUCCAUGAAAGCAUCUAUUUUUUCCGUUCAAGAAAUAGCUUAUGUAAAGAUGGGGUGAGUCCCUUAUAAGAUCUUCCUUUCUUCUCUUUUCUUCUAUUAGUUAGCUUGGAUUGAGAGAAAGCUCCGCCCAAUAGCGCUUAGCCACCCAUGUGUGUGUAGACCGAAAUGGUCUCGCGAAGCCGGUCAACGGUAGCCUACCUAAGAGCAAGUCAAAACUACGAGAAGGGCGCGAGAAGUUUUGUGAAGGUAGAGAGAGAUUUUCAAAUCAGACUUCAAGUUGGUGUGCCGCGUGUUAAGAAGGCAGAGACCGCCCCAGGCUUCGCCCUAAUUCCCAUCUAAGGUUGAAUAAGAUUAGAUUAGUCUCGCAAAAUUCGUUCUCGAAUGAUUCAUCGAUGGAAUUAGGCCUAGUUGUAUGAAAAUUUCUUGUGAUUCCCCUCUUUCUUCGACGAAGGCAUACACGCAUCGAUAGGGAACCCAAAGAAGGGCUAGAAAAAGGAAAGCGGCACCUUAACUUAAUAGCUCCAUUUCUUGUUCCUGAGCGGAAGGUACGCUCAGCCCCUGAUACAUCGCUAUUUCUUAAUCCUUGCGUCCAGGGAUAAUGAGUCGGUUGGCUCUUAGAGUAUAGCCUCUCUCGGGGUUAGCGAUAAGAGUACACCGGCCCGUGUGGUAGCGGGCGAACUAAGGAUUUCGUGCUUGCAAGGAAGCGUGCAAGUGGGUGAACGCAUCACCAGCCAAGCUAGUCACUUGGAACAUAGGGGUAUUCAAUCCCCGAGCUUCCGGGCCUUGAGAACCGACUUCGGAUUUGCCCCUUAGAUAGUGAGUAGCAAAGAAGGGUAGGGUUUCAAGUUUAGGGUUUUCACUUCCACGUCCCAGCUCGUCGAAGCUACCGCCUAUCGAUUGAAAUUUCCCUCCUCAGCCGGAGGCGGAACCGGCUCCCCCUGAACCAUCCUCGGAAGAGUAAGGAAGGAGAAGGGAACGGGAGUUUCUCGCCUCCUAAGAGUAUAAAGAGGCGGAGUGUCACCCCAACAAACUAGACGCACGCAUCAAGGCGUUCUGCCAACGAGCGAAGGCGAUCGCUCAAGAAAGGGGAUUCAGCCCCGGCAAAUGCGAUGCAGUGAAAGACGCUGCGGACUAUGUGGCCGGUAACGUAAAAGAUAUGCCGGCAGCUAGCCAACUCCGCUUUCUAACGAGGUUAAGGCGUGACCUAGAAAACGGAAACAGCGAGACCUGGGGUGGGGUCUCAUCGAACGGGAAGUUCGAAGAUGGAGACCCGGUUCGGCACGAAAUAAGAAAGGUUUGGGGGCCCGUUGGUCAAAGGAAAGGGAAGGUCCUGCUUCCGGGACGGAGCCGUAUGACGCGAGAGUGUCACGUACGGUUCCUUUGAGAAGGGUGUGAUACCACCACCUAUCAGGCCCGACGAGCGGUCCACGGAGCUGCAUCCCUACUCACCUGGUCUAUGCACAUCGCUCUCUCCAGGAGGUUGGCCGCCUAUCCUAGAUCUUCCCAUUUCCAAGAAGAUCCCGGGCUCGAUCUGGUUUAGUAUCAAGGUGAUUCUUUUUCUGUUCCUAUAUAUAUGGGUCCGUGCAGCAUUUCCACGAUAUCGUUAUGAUCAAUUAAUGGGACUUGGCCGGAAAGUGUUCUUGCCUCUAUCAUUAGCUCGGGUAGUCCCCGUUUCUGGUGUUUUAGUCACCUUUCAAUGGCUCCCUUAAUUAUGUGCGAGGAAUUGCCCUAUUGAGUAAUGGUGGGAAGCGGGCUAGCCCCCGAAAAUGCCCCGCCCGUAAGUUCCUUUGUCGUUGGGGAAAAAAAAGAAAGAGAUUUAAAAAAGAAAAGAAAUUGCGUAAAUUCUGCCUUUUUUGAUCCCAUGCUUUCCGUUGGUCAACAACCAACUAAAUCUAUACCUCUUCACUACUCGUACAGGUUUGACGGAGUGAAGCUGUAUUGAGGGAAUCUUUUUGUCUCAAUCAAUCAAGAAUGCCCAAUAAAAGUAAAAGACCCUUCUCUUCUAUUUUUAAAGGAAGACUGUCUACUAUUUAUGAAGAUUUCGCCGCCAGUCCUUCUCAAUCGACCGAACCUUUUAACUACACGACUUUUAUUGAGAGUUGUGGGACCAAGGGCUUUCCAGUCCUUAAACCUCGCCCAGUUAUCGAGAAGAUAGAGGAGAAAUUAGGAGAGCCUAUUGUUAUCGAGACUGCCAAAAGAGGUUUCCCUGUACGAGGCCGUUACGAGAGGGAGAGCGACUAUAUACUACGCGCAUUGAAAUAUUAUUACAGUAUAGGGGGACGGGCGGAGGAUAUCUUUAAAAAGCCAAAGAAAGACGCGCGUACAGACGACCCCGACCAAACUGAACAAUUAGAAAUAAGUGACCAAACUGAACAAUUAGAUCUAAGUGGCCCACCUGAACAAGUGGAUCUAGUGAAAGAUCUCGUCUCCAGCCCACCUGAACAAUUAGAAAUAAGUGGCCCAUUUUCACAAUUAGAAAUAAGUGGCCCACCUGAACAAUUUGAGAUUGUGCCAUUGAUGGAUUUUCCUAUUGGAAACUUCUAUUUUUCAUUCACAAAUCCAUCUUUUUUUAUGCUACUAACUCUCAGUUUGGUCCUACUUUUCUUUUAUUUUGUUACUAAAAAAAUGAAAAAGAAUAUUUCUUCCAUAUCCAUAAUUAAUGGAUAUUUCAAGUAGAAGAGCUCACCUAUUGUUUCACAUUUGAAUUUCUCUUACAUUCUACGUUCCCGAAAUGGAUCCUAUCAAAUAUUUCACAUUUUCUAUGAUUAUCUCUAUUUCAGGUAUUCGGGGAAUCCUCCUUAAUAGACGAAAUAUUCCUAUUAUGUCAAUGCCAAUUGAAUCAAUGUUAUUAGCUGUGAAUUCGAACUUUUUGGUAUUUUCUGUUUCUUCGGAUGAUAUGAUGGGUCAAUCAUUUGCUUCAUUGGUUCCAACGGUGGCAGCUGCGGAAUCUGCUAUUGGGUUAGCUAUUUUCGUUAUUACUUUCCGAGUCCGAGGGACUAUUGCUGUAGAAUCUAUUAAUAGCAUUCAAGGUUAAAGAUGACUCCUAGAGAGUUACCAAAAUACGAAGUUCUCUUCUCCUUUCUUUCUCUUCUUUCUUUUUGAUACUUGGUUGGCAGGGUCAGGGCCUUUCUCGCUGGGCGAGCGCAUCCGAUUCUAAAGUCCUUUCUUAUUCUUAAACCACUUCCCGUUCAGUUGCUGAAAGAUAGAGAUCAGGCUUUCUAAAUGAGAUUGAGUUCCACGAAUAUGCAGGCUAGAAAGAUGCUAUUUGCUGCUAUUCUAUCUAUUUGUGCAUCAAGUUCGAAGAAGAUCUCAAUUUAUAAUGAAGAAAUGAUAGUAGCUCUAUGUUUUAUAGGCUUUAUCAUAUUCAGUCGGAAGAGUUUAGGUAAUACUUUCAAAGUGACUCUCGACGGGAGAAUCCAGGCUAUUCAGGAAGAAUCGCAGCAAUUCCCCAAUCCUAACGAAGUAGUUCCUCCGGAAUCCAAUGAACAACAACGAUUACUUAGGAUCAGCUUGCGAAUUUGUGGCACCGUAGUAGAAUCAUUACCAAUGGCACGCUGUGCGCCUAAGUGCGAAAAGACAGUGCAAGCUUUGUUAUGCCGAAACCUAAAUGUUAAGUCAGCAACACUUCCAAAUGCCACUUCUUCCCGUCGCAUCCGUCUUCAGGACGAUAUAGCCAUAAAGAUGCACGUCUUAGUGGGGAAAAGAUUUUGCCCCCGGUGUAGCUCGAAAGCAGAAAGAGUAGAAUUCAUUCGAGAGAGCUUGGUGGUCUUAAGAAUGGUUCGGGUGGGGGAUUCUCUUAAGAAUAAAGAAUUAGAAUAGAAUCUAAUUCAUGUUCAUGUUAACAGAAGAGCGGAUCCAAUACCAAGACGCUUGAGAGAAAGGGCUAGCCUUGUAUAUACGCUAUUUCUGUUUAUGUCAGAGGUGCCCAAAGCUAGAAGCAAGAUUUCGAGUAGAAUAUUCAAAGCUUUUGAGUAAGUAAGAUGGAUGGAUUUGGAAGCAAGUGAAAGAACUAGUUGCAUAGAUAUAGAUAUAGAGAAAGUCCUUUCUCUGAAGACGGUGAUAUUAGGGUUUUGAGAUCGGUUCUGACGUCGAACAGGUUUUCGACCCGAAAGGCUCCACAGAGCUGUCGUAUGCGGGUACUACGAGGCCCACGACUUUCUUGAUCGCCUCAUUCGGGUUAAGAUGUGGCUAAAGUCUCUCCGAGGGUAGCGUAUAUUACGCUCGAGGUCUCUCGAGCCUCCUGUUGUACCAAUGUCUCCGUUUUAGGGUUUAAGGAAUAAGGUAAUGAAAUUCCGGUAUGGACUUUUGUUGUUGUUACGACAGGCGGAGAGCAGUGCCCUAUUGGUCUAAUUCCUGCUUCCCCUUGGUAUCGGUAAAGGGGCUGGUAAGCGCUUCCCGAAUAGAUUCCUUUCUCUUCCCCGGACACCGAACAAAGGGAACCCUGGCUUCACUUGUCGUAGUAAGACCCCCCUCUAUAAGCUUUCCCUAUCACUCUGAUGAACCUCUUUCCGCCUGUUCUCUAGAGUUCAAGAACAGAUUCUUGCCUAUCCCUUAUUUGUCCAUUAAGUCCGUUUUCCGCUAAAGGCAGCAUUCAAAGCACCUAUAUUGUAAUACGUAAGAGGAAGGACGACUAAGCAACUAUGCUACUAUUGGCACCCCAAACUAAAAACUACAACUGGAAAUCCAACUUUAGGUGGUCAUUAUGAUCAGAAACUCACUCUCUGGAGAAUUUUAUUGACCUCGCAUAUAACAUGGGGAAUCUGGUUAGCACCCAUAUUUAAGAAUAAAAGAACAAAGACUUGACUGGACGGUAUUCACGAGCAGAUGACAAGCAUGAGUGAAGAAGGGUCUUAUGUUACCAUUUUUGGUGGUAAAGAAGAUGUUCUUGUUCUUCCAUUCCCCAAACCCACUUCAGCUUUCAAGAUUGGGUUGGUGUUCCGAUAGGCGAGAGGUGUGAAGCCAGAUCGUACUAAAGACAAUGAAAAAAUUUGGAAAAUGAUAGAUUUCCAAAAAAUAAGUAAAAGCAGAAUGAAAGACAGUCCUAUAUUGACAAGGACGAGCUUUUUCACGAAGAAAGCUUCGCGCCCAACUGCUUGUAUAUCGAUCGGAAAGAAGCAGCUGCAAAUGCUAUCAGUGGUUCUUCCUUCCUAUCCCAUCUAUCUAUAAGAGUUGCUUGAUUCGCCCCCAUCUUUAAUAGGACUGGACUAAGUUCGGGCAGAUCUCCGUCCCAUUUCACGGAUGCAUCGCAUUGAGAAUUGACUCGUCGGAUUAACCACUUAGACGGAGAGUCCCCCGUAUUCCAUUUCAUUGGCAACUGAAAUAGAUCUAAACGGAUUGCGCGGUACCCCGGACCGAAGAAAUUUCCAAAUGAAUUGAAAAGAAUAUCAAUAUAAGGCCCAGAUGUAACCUGUGCGGAGCAAGCCUACACUGGCCUGCAACUGCUUUCUCAUUGGCUCCAUUAGGGUUCGUAGUCUCAUCCUGAAAAGGUUUUUUUCUUUCUCCGGAUAUACUCUCAACUUUCCCUGCUAUCCUAUCAACAGGUCAGUCAAUAUCAGUAGUGGAGGAAGAAGAGUAGUACCCUUUUUUCAGUUAGUCUUAAUAGUUUAAUAAUUCAACUAGUGGUCUUCUUGCCUAAAAAAAGGAGUCAGCCCAACAUGGGCAAUGAUAGACAGACCAAAGAUUUACGCAGUCCUUGUGUGCUUGCUUUGUGCACCGGCACAGCAGAAUUCGAAGCUGCUCGGCGUACUAGCCCUAUAACGGAGUCAGACCCAACCAAACUCUCUUAGUAUAAAGCGGAGCAGGACCGUUGGCCUGAUCUGACUCCCCACCCAACCGCCCUGGCGUAUGUUUCCGAAUCAACUGCAUCGUAAGCUGCUAUAGCUCUUGCCAACUACCCUGGAAAUGAAAAAGAAACUCUAUCCUCAACCCUUCCAAUCCUUAGUUCAUGGUGGCAACUUCACCCCGUGCAUCCUUUGGUUGUGAGCCCCGCCUAGAGGGAGGCGCUAAGGGAAGGGCGUAGCGUUAAAUCUGCCUCGCCUUUCAGAGGUUUGGAACCCUUCUGUUGAGCACCAAUUGGAAAUCCAAUCUGACUUCUAAAACGGAAGUGAGCACAGGUGAGAGGACCCCACUUUCCCGCAUCCCUCUCCCCACGAGCAGAACACCUGAGAUGCACAGCACGUGGGCCUUGUCUAACGAACGACGACUUUCGAUUCUUCACUUCAAGGAGUAGAGUCGCUGCCCAACCCUACCUAUAUAAAAGAAAAAGAAUCGAUCACUAGGGGUCCCGAGCAAUUCUACCUUCUUUCCAUUAUCCAACGCUCAUGCGUCCCCUUUCUCCCACUCUUUUAAAGCUUUCAAUAAAGCCUUCUUAGCUGUGGAAGCAGCAACCGGUCUGUUGGAAAGUUCCUGCAUAAGUUGUCGGAUCCUCAAAAAAAAGCUUUUCUGGGGACGCGCUGUUCAAGUCGAGUUUCCUUAUUGUCCCUUCCAAGACAUCCCUUCUAACUUCCCUAUUUCCAAAGGAAGAAAGAAAGGUCGAAAGCUCUCUUUCGAGAGCCUCUUUUGUUGGGCUCGGCGGCCCCAAUCGCAAGGCUAGAUCCAGAUCCCCCAUAGCCUGUUCAGCAUGAGGAAUGGCUGGCGGAGCAUCAGGAUUUCCUUGAUCCAUUCUCAAGAUCUCAGGCCCCCCUACCAACUCGCUCCCGGUGACAUUAGGCACUACCUCAUUUGGGCUGGAAAUAAUAUAACUGUCCAUAAAACAAAUCAUUGCUGUGUUUUCGGUCUCGUUGAAGAAAAUGCAAACGAAAUGACUUACUAGCCACAGUAUAUCCCCGACACAACCUACAUUCACAAACGAUAGUUGUUUAGAAAUUGAAAAAAAAAAAAUUGAGACUCUAUUUUUUUUUUACGUAUUAUGUGAUGUUUUGGGAUUCUUAUAGUUUCUAUUAUAUAAUAAUUGGGAUCAUAGAGAAAAGAAAAUGACAAAACAAAAAGGACAAAGGAAAAAGAAUCGAAUCUCACUCAUUUUCAGGUAAGAUUUACUUAGCUCGCUCCUUGCUCGCGGACGCGGAGCGGCAUACCAAUAAAAAGAAAAGCGUUAUCGGAUUGGAAUCGAUGACUUAAGCCUCUUUCUUAAGGGCCUUUAAAGACCGGCCAUUAUCGGACUCUUCUUAUGCUUUUUUUUUUUCACCGGGCUUGGAUCGAGGAAAGCAGGCUUGACAGGCCCGAGUCUUCAUUUGUAGGACUUUGUGGGAUGGGCCCGUGCAUGUAGGCUUGGGUCUUCUUAACGUGCGUCAUUUGACGACUCAGUGCAUGGAUGUCAUGAGUCCAUUGGCAUAGGCUUAGGCCAUUUUUGUAAGUGGGCAGUCUUUGGCAGGCCUGGAGAUUCAAUUAAGGGGAGCAGUCUAAUAAAUCGACUGUUGGUGGCAUCACGCUAUCGUAGAUUAGGGAUGAUAAUUCAAUAUAUCGGAAAGACGCUAGGCAAAAAGGUUAGUAAGAAUAGGAAUUGUUAGAUUUCCUGUAUCGGAGAGAGAAGCUGAGUCGGGAUGAGGGAAUUGUUUCUAUGCUUUUCUCAGAUAAUGCGGGUUAAGAGUGAAGCUAUCGCGCCUAAGGCGAAAGGCUCUGUUCGGCUCGAUAGGUGGCAGGCUCAGAACAAGAGGAUAAAGACAAGGGGGAAGUUUAGUUAUUAAGUUCCUUUAUUAAGGUAAGGAUAAGAUAAAGAGAGGAAAUAUAUAUAUAUAUAUAACUAUUAUUUUGUUAGACUAGUGAACAAUAGCUAAAGAAAGUGAAAGAAGUAGAAUCAAGCCAUUCAUCUGAAAAAAGCUUUUUGCUUUAUUUAAAACUUCUCGAACUAGAAAGAGAAGCCCUUUUCAGCAGGCUUCCAGGUUCGCAACUAUACUCGUCUCUUACUUUCCCAGCGGAAAGCCAGAUAGAACUUUGACUAGAGCAAAAACCCGGAGCUUGACUUUAACUGGAAGAGCAGAGCAUAAAGCGCCUACUUGACGAGCAGGAGCAGCGAAUAAAGACAGACUUCCACACGGGAGGAAGUUCUGUUCUCUUUAUGAGAAAGGCAGAUACAAAUGUUGAAAGAACUUUCAUUUAACUAAGCUUUCUUACUUUCAACUUUCAGUACAGGUCUCUCCUCUAUCUAGUAAUCUCGGACGCUGUUGGUGCUUUAUGUUGUCCGUGGGAAGGCAGUGGAAGAGAAAGAAAGUAGCUGCGAUUGCUUGAAAAAAAUCAGUUGAAUCAUCAGGUGGGAUAAAAAAAGGAAAGAGUGUACCUGCGCCGCUCGAUGAUCGGAUGCGCAAUCUUCCAGCUUCAGGGGCUUGAUCAGGAUUCGAGGAUCCUCCUUGGUUUGGUCCUUCUUUCACUAAUGGUCUCACCAUUUUCUAGUAGUAGUAGUUCGCGCGAGGGACUUUUCUAUCGCUUGCCCUUCCACACCACAUUAAUUAGGUUAGGUGGGUGUUGUUAUUUUAUUGAUCCCCAAAUUUUCGACCAGAGCACCGUUGUCUGCGAGAAAAAUUUCCCAUUCUUCUCGAAAUUGAAAAAAAAAAAUAGGGUCCAGACCCACAAAUGAAUAGGAAGCGAGGCGAGGGUCCUUCAUUAAAGGGGGGAAAAGAGGGGUGGGCUUUGUUCUGGGGGGGCCGCCUUGCGCAGCUUUAGAAAGGAGAGAAUGACUUUCUGAAAUUCUCUCCAACCCUUUCUAUCUAUCUUUAGAAGUAGGGCGAGAGAAAGUCAAUAUGAUAUUUGCGUUGGUUUUUCCAACGAAACUAAGCACUUUUCUUCUUUCUCAUUCGGAAGGCUCAGUCCCACACCCUGACUUCAAUGAUGGGAACAACCUCCGCACUCCGGCGCUCCACUGAACAACAGUUCUCCGCCUUACUAUAUUUAGAAUAGUGGUCGAUCCUUCGGGAGUUACAUUCGUAACAACAUUACAUGUUAUGUUCACGCGGAUGGAGAGGGAUUCGAACCCCCGGUAUUUCUAAAAAUACUUCGGUUUUCAAGACCGACUCUUUCAACCGCUCAGACAUCCAUCCCCUUCGCGCUUCGCCCGCCCUAUCCAUCCGCGCGCUGGCAGGUAGGGGCUUAUCUAUGUGAUUCGCUACGCUUGCCUGCGCCUAUCGGCUGAUUCUAUUGCCUGCCGGUUAGCGAAACUUUUCCGGUAGUACGAAUCGCUACGCUUCGCCUCUUUCUAUAUGAUAAUAUGCAUCUUGGUUGCUGCGCUCCCUGCGGGUAAUAGCAAGAGAGUGAAUAACGAAUGAUCCUCCAAACUCAAAGAGUGAUUGAGUCCGACUCAAGCGAGUGAGUGAAAGGCGUGGCAAGAGAGCGAGUUCGACUCGCGAACGAUCAGCAAGUGAAGGACCGAUCCUUUUUUUUGCGCCAAUACUGUUGCGAGACUGGUACUUGGCGGCUCACGAGCAACAUAUAGACUAAGGUUGCCCAUCACCCCCUCGCUCUUUUUUGAAGGCCCUUUCAAUUCUCUUUCUAGUAUGCUUCCUCCAUAAGAACACUGAACGCCCAGCUUCGCAGAGCAGCUCUCUCCCCAGCCCACAGCAUAGUGUGGAAUCUGGAUCCUUUCAUCGAGCACCAUUUCUUUUAGAUAGAAGGGUGUUCUGACUCUAUUGGAUCAAGUCAUAACCUAAGCCUUCUACUAGUAGACUACUAUGGAGAGACUAAGCUCUAUUUCAGAGAUUGGACUCUCUUACUGUGAUUAGCUCCUACUAGUAAGAAGCUGUUCCCGAGCCAGGUUCCCUGGAUCCACGUGUUCCUAGCCGGGCCUAAAUGGAUGAAUGAAGAAGCGCGCCCGGGUAGACUUCAAGAGCUCUUGCUCUGCCUAUCCUCCUACUUCUUGGGGGUCAUAGAAAGAUACGAACCGCCUACUCUUUAAAGGGUUGGUGUGGCAUUAGAUUGUUGAAAAUGAAAGCGGCUUGUCCUCACUAAUAAAAAACAGCAAUCCCUCCCCUUCUGUUACCUACUUUUACGAAUCUCUUCGGUAUACCUCAAUACAAGACAAGCGCAGGAAAGGAUAAACAAUAAAAACCGGGCUAUCGCCCUAUCUAAGCAGCCUUCCCCUCUCCUCUACGGAAGUAAUCUUUAAAUCUAUUUCAGUUCCUGUGUCUGUCGCUAUCGCCCUAUUCUCUCUCAAUUGCCUAUCCUUUCUAGAUGAGGGGGAGUCCCUUAGCAGUAGCUUCCAACACUUAAGAUUGACCUCCUCAAGUGCCAGAUAUGAAUGUUUUCUGAAUUUCAUACGGGACUACUUACUUACCUAAAGUUCACUUUUGGCUUACCAAAAAAGUUGACUGAAGGAACUGACCUAAGCAUAGCUCUCUCUCUCAAAUACAAAUGUCAAGAAAGGGAUUCCUUGGAUAAGUGGAAAAAUGCUCAAAAAAUCCUUUCAUUUCUCUUUGAAGGCCUUUGUCCUACUUAUAGUAUCAGUCCUCCAGCCUAUACUUGUGUUUUUAUUAACCAAGAACACAUGCACUUUGUUGGCACUCAAAAAAAAGGUUAUUCAAUCCACUAGUGCAACUGAAGGUGCGCAGCCUCUUCUGAACCGGAACAAGAAAGAGCUCAUAACCACUGCUUGUGAACAGCUCUCCUCAACUUAAGGCGCACCUACUCUUACUAGAAGUCUAGUCUCUCUCAGGUCCAGUUUCGAUCUCUAACUAACUUACUUAAUAGGCCAGGCCGGCGGCCGGAAGAGAGAUAUUCAGAAAACCCGAUUUCCUGUCUUAAGAACCUGACUCAAAAGAGAAAAGAAGACCGGACUAAAAGAGAUCUCACUUUCGACGAUUGAACUUUACUUUUAUAUCCAGAUUGGAACUGGACUUAAACGUCUUUGGAUCCUGCUUAGGGCCGGCUUUCACUUUCAUAUCAGGAACGUCGACUUGCACUUGCAAUAUAGAAUUUGACUUUCCGGAAUCCUUGCUCCUGGCUUAUAUUCACAUAGGCCACUCAUAAGAAUAAGACGUUCAACUCCCUAAAACACGUGUAAUUGAGAGAGUCAUCAUAUCAGUGCCUUGGGGAAAUGCCUACCUUCAGGAGAAGAUUACCGAAUGAGUUUCAAACCUGUCCUCUUCGCUUCCCAAGAUAUUUAGGGAAAGGGGCGUUCAGCCACUUGACUCUAAGGAAAGGGGCCUUGUCGGCCACCGCUUGCUGACGACGGAACGCAUCGUCAAUUAAAAGGUCCUCGCCUUGGACUUAGUUGGAAAGGUAGGUGUUCGGCAUGUCCCUUGCUUGCGAACUUCUUUAGUAGGGCGGAGGUGCCAUUCCUCACGUUUACCGUUGUCCCCAGACUUCACUCUUUCAACACUUGUAUACUUUCUAAAGAGUCAGGCAUGCCCCUGUCCCUGUCUCCAAGUGUGAUCCACCGAUUCACUGAGUGACUUUUUCUUACCGCUGCGCUGGAGUCCCUAUCUCUUAAAGGGUUGGUGUGGCAGACUUCCCCCUUGUUUGCCGAUUGAGGAAAGCCUUAUAUGGCUUCAAACAAGCGAGAAAGGCCCUUUCUAUCUUAUUAGUCAAGCGCGCUAGCUGCAAUCAAAAAACAGCGCUAACGAGCAAGAAAGGGGAUGCGCUAAGGCGCAACGGCGUUCGCGCAGCAGCUGCGCCCUUGCUUCUUGCUUUCGAGCCGGAGCUUGCUGGGUAGUGAAGUGGUCCGUGAAGGUUAAAUAAGACUUGUGUUAAGCAAGCAGAGUAGUCAAGCCAAAAAAGCAAGAAGCGGUUUUCGUUCGAUCGACGGAAUCAAUCGUACUUUCACUGCUGUGGACCGGCUUUCAUAAAGCACCUUUGGGCAGCAGCUACUAUUGGGAUCCAAUUUCGAGAUCAAUUCGACAAUGAAACUCUUUAAGCAAUGAUCUUAUCUAUGUCAUUUCUCUUGACGCGAUACAAAAGACGACUUUCGAGAGUCACUUAGCCCCUUGACCUCUUUUCUCAAAAAAGACGCUGUGCGGGCAAGUCGAUCAAAGUCAGAGCGGGGAGGGAAUGUUUAUUUACAGUUGUUGUAGUACGACUUUUCAUUUCCUGUUCGGUCUUUCAAUAAGUAGUCAGCUGCGGGCGUAGUCAGACUUAACAUUGAUUGAAGCAGCUGUUGGAGAGAAGGCACCAGUCAGACCUGCAAGCACCGGGUAGUAUGCAGCGGCAGUUUUCAAUCAUACAAUGUUCUUAGUCUGACUUUUAGCGGUAGUCAGCUGUCCUCGUUCUCCUCUUUGAAUUGCCCUAUUGAGUCAGGGUCGGUGCUUGCAAAAAUGUCGAGCCGACGGGGUCAGGUACCAGUAGUUACAAUAGUAAAGGGGGGCUGGACACUAGUUGUGCGAGUGGAAUGACCCAACUGGACCUAGUCAGCCCGAACCGUUUUGCGGUUCUAGAGGACCCUGAACAAGAAGAGGCAAAGAUGCCAGAUCUGGACACUGCUGAACCGGAAGAGAUUGCUCAGGAUGAGUGUUUGGGUAACAAAGCCGAGGAGGGUGUAGUCAAGGAGAGAACUCCCGAGGAGAGUGAUUUGGCUCAUAGAAGCGAGGAUCUGGAAGAGAGGGUCAACUAUGGCAGUGACUGAGGGGGACUUGUUCUGUGAUAAACAAAUGACUUCAAACCUCAGGGCAUCCAAAAGAGGUGAACCUGAGAAGAGCAGUAAGAGUAAGCGUUCAAGUACUGGUGCUAUGACCUUAAAGGUGGAAGAUCCUCCCCUGGUUCGAAUCACCCUGAAUGAAGAGUGGGCGAACAAGAUGCAAAACAUAUCAUAAAUGUUGAAUUCUAAGAAAGAGGGGGGCCCCUUCCCGCGUAUGCGCCUUUAUUUAUAUUCUUUCUAUUUUUGAAUUAGGAGAAUCUUUCUAAAAAAAUCUCUCUGGCAAAACGCAAUUCGUCGAGUUCAAUUCAAGGUGCACCUUGCUUUUUUUUCAGGUAGCUUUUUCUUACGCCUAUUUAGCUAGUGGGGCAUUGGUCAUAGCCGAAAUUCGUCGAAGGGAUAAAACCAAAAUAAAGAAGAGAAAGAAAGGGAAGUUUUUUCUUUCUUUCAAUCCAAAUAAGAGAACAAAGAAAGCACUCAAAAAUGAAAGUUAGAAAAAGAAGUGUUAGUAAGAACUAGCACUAGACUUCUUCCCCCCUUUCUUUUCGACUUUUUCUCUCUCCUUUUGUUUGUGCUUCCACCCGGGCUUUUCAUUCUGUUUUAUAGAGACCCGAGGAAAUUCUAUAUAAUAAUAAAUGUAGAAAGGUGGGGGUGAGGUACUUUCCCCGGCAUACGGAAAGAAAAUCCAGGAUGACGGCUUUCAAAAGACGAGUAAGGGACGGGGAGAGGGCGACUGAAAAGGAGGCUCGACCCACAGGGAGAGGGAGGCUCUCGAAACCAAACGAGACUAGAAAGAACAUGGGAAUUAGCACCAUUCAUAUGAGUGCUUUUGUUUUGUCUCUUCGAGACAACAAAACAAAAGGACAGCCCUCUCUAUAUCUCGGUCUCGGUUUAGCAUCAUAUAUCGCUGAGCAUUUUUUUUUAGAAAGUCCGUAUAACUUCAAAAGAAUCAUUCUUUAUGAAUCAAGUACCAUUCAAACAAAGGGUGCAUUGCCUCUUUGAGUGAAGAAGAGAGGGGCUUUGUAUAGACACUCUUGAGCCAUGUUCGUCGCCCUAGGCUUACCAUUCUUUCAUUUCAUUCUAUUGAUUGGCUCUAGCUCCAAAGAACAUAUACAUGGAGCUAUGUCGACUUACGUACGUCUUGUUGACUAAACGAUCAGGUAUACCACGCCACGUAUCAUCCACUCGGCUCAAGCCGAGGAGAGAUAAAGAAAAAUCAAAGAUAUGGUGAUCGUGCCGUAAGACCUUGUUCCUUUCUACUUGACGUUCUUUAUUUUCCUCGGUUUUUACCCCACGGAGCGGUAGCUUGCUUACUUAGCGCUUGCGCUAAGGAUCUAAUCAGAGUCAAACUUGGAUUUGAAAAAAAAAAACCUUUCCCUUAUUAGCCGGAGUACAAGUGUACUCUUUUUUCUUUAGUAAAGGCGGAUUAAGCCAAAAAAUCUUUUUUUUUUCGAACAGUCUCAACGUCCUCGUUGAGAGUCGCUCUGCGAGACGUCUAGUAGUCUCUGACUUGGUCUUCGAAUCCUAAGUCUCAGCCCCUUCCCGGCUUGCCUCGCUCUCAGG